GGGCGGUUAGCUCAGUUGGCUAGAGCACUUCGUUUACACCGAAGGGGUCAUAGGUUCGAGUCCUAUACCGCCCACCA
rnacentral:tRNA from 1 species